rnacentral:tRNA from 1 species
UUUAUAUUAGUUUAAUUAAAACAAUGUAUUUUCGUUACAUAGAUGAAAAAUUUCAUAUAUAUAU